rnacentral:rRNA from 1 species
AGAGUUUGAUCCUGGCUCAGAACGAACGCUGGCGGCGUGGAUAAGACAUGCAAGUCGAACGGGAUACACUUGGUAGUAAUAUUAAGUGUGUCUAGUGGCGAACGGGUGCGUAACACGUGGACAACAUUCCGAGAAGCGGGGGAUAGCCCAGGGAAACUUGGUUUAAUACCGCAUGUGGUUGAGUGUGGCAUCACACAACAACUAGAGGUGGGGACCGCAAGGCCUGCCACUUCUCGAUUGGUCCGCGGCCUAUCAGCUUGUUGGCGGGGUAACGGCCUACCAAGGCGACGACGGGUAGCUGGUCUGAGAGGACGACCAGCCACACUGGAACUGAGACACGGUCCAGACACCUACGGGUGGCAGCAGUCGAGAAUCAUUCACAAUGGGGGAAACCCUGAUGGUGCGACGCCGCGUGGAGGAUAAGGUCUUCGGAUUGUAAACUCCUGUCAUGUGAGAGCAAGGCUACGAUUUUAAUACCUUCGGAGCUUGAUAGUAUCACAAGAGGAAGAGACGGCUAACUCUGUGCCAGCAGCCGCGGUAAUACAGAGGUCUCAAGCGUUGUUCGGAAUCACUGGGCGUAAAGGGUGCGUAGGCGGCUUGGUAAGUCAGAUGUG